rnacentral:ncRNA from 1 species
CUGCUGCACGGAGAUGGCAUACCUCCGGCGUUCCUGCGCGAACCGCUCCUCCCCGGGGCUGAUGAUGCCUGCAAGAUC